rnacentral:rRNA from 1 species
UGAGGAAUAUUGCACAAUGGGCGAAAGCCUGAUGCAGCAACGCCGCGUGGGUGAUGAGGACCUUCGGGUUGUAAAACCCUUUUCUGGGGGACGAGGAAGGACGGUACCUCAGGAAUAAGCCUCGGCUAACUACGUGCCAGCAGCCGCGGUAAAACGUAGGAGGCGAGCGUUAUUCGGAUUUACUGGGCGUAAAGCGCGUGCAGGCGGUUCUGUAAGUUGGAGGUUAAAUCCCCUGGCUUAACUGGGGGCGUCCUUCAAAACUGCAGGGCUUGAGGAUGGGAGAGGGAAGUGGAAUUCCCGGUGUAGUGGUGGAAUGCGUAGAUAUCGGGAGGAACACCAGUGGCGAAGGCGGCUUCCUGGCCCACACCUGACGCUCAGACGCGAAAGCGUGGGGAGCGAACGG